GAUGAACGCUAGCGGCAGGCUUAACACAUGCAAGUCGAGGGGCAGCGCGGGAUAGCAAUAUCCUGGCGGCGACCGGCGGAAGGGUGCGUAACGCGUGAGCGACAUGCCCGUUGCCCGGGGACAACCGGUGGAAACGCCGACUAAUCCCCGAUGGGAUAUUGUGCCGCAUGGCACGAUAUUGAAAGUUACGGCGGCGACGGAUUGGCUCGCGUCCGAUUAGCUUGUUGGCGGGGUAACGGCCCACCAAGGCUGCGAUCGGUAGGGGUUCUGAGAGGAAGGCCCCCCGCAAGGGGACUGGGACACGGCGCAUACUACUACGGGAGGCAGCAGUGAGGAAUAUUGGUCGAUGGGCGGAAGCCUGAACCAGCCAUGCCGCGUGCGGGAAGGAGGCCCUAUGGGCUGUGAACCGCUUUUGCCUGGGGGCAAUAAGGGCGUCGCGCACGGCCGAUGAGAGUACCAGGCGAAUAAGCAUCGGCUAACUCCGUG
rnacentral:rRNA from 1 species